GAUGAACGCUGGCGGCGUGCCUAAUACAUGCAAGUCGAGCGAACAGACGAGGAGCUUGCUCCUCUGACGUUAGCGGCGGACGGGUGAGUAACACGUGGAUAACCUACCUAUAAGACUGGGAUAACUUCGGGAAACCGGAGCUAAUACCGGAUAAUAUAUUGAACCGCAUGGUUCAAUAGUGAAAGACGGUUUUGCUGUCACUUAUAGAUGGAUCCGCGCCUCAUUAGCUAGUUGGUAAGGUAACGGCUUACCAAGGCAACGAUGCGUAGCCGACCUGAGAGGGUGAGCGGCCACACUGGAACUGAGACACGGUCCAGACUCCUACGGGAGGCAGCAGUAGGGAAUCUUCCGCAAUGGGCGAAAGCCUGACGGAGCAACGCCGCGUGAGUGAUGAAGGUCUUCGGAUCGUAAAACUCUGUUAUUAGGGAAGAACAAAUGUGUAAGUAACUAUGCACGUCUUGACGGUACCUAAUCAGAAAGCCACGGCUAACUACGUG
rnacentral:rRNA from 1 species